UGAGAUCCCUUGAUGGUGUGUCGCCUUUCUGGGUCAAUGAUUCAGUUUCCCUCCAGCUCUCGACGCAGACGGAAGGGACCGCGGCAGGGCGUGUGCUUGUGCACCCCGGACAGAGAUGGCAUUGCCCUCUAAUGCAGGCUCCUGGCGGUUAGUACCCGUCUCGGCGCUGCCUAGAAUGAGCGGAGUAUCACAGGACAACGACACUCCUGCUAGGACACUUCUUUGGGCCAUUUUUGGGAAAGGGAUUUCGCUGUGGACGGAGGCAACAAGGAUGGGAACGAGAAUGAAGACCAGAUAGCCUUCAAGCACACCUACACACAGCUGUCCACCGUUGAAUGGACAAGGAGGAUCUGAUCUCUGCCCGUUGUCUUCCGCGAGGCCAGUCACUUCACCCGCUUCUCCUUGCCUUAUCAUCACUCCAGCCCUGUCUAGCGGAGGACCGGUGGCCAAUAGCAGUCCUGCUGCUCUGCAAGCCCCGCCAGGUGUCGUGACCUUCAAAACAGCGUGGUCCCGAUCAGGCUUUGUAGCUCUCCAACCAGCAGACUGCCGGGCCUGGGUGGAGGGGUGCCACACGACGGUGGAAUAAGCCAUCUUGUCC